rnacentral:rRNA from 1 species
CGGGUAUUUGCUCAUCGGGCGCACGCCUCGACCCACGCCAUCGCCGCGUGCAGGAUGACAGGUCCUAUGGAUUGGUAAACUGCUUUUGCACGGGGAAAAAACACUCCUACGUGUAGGAACUUGACGGUACUGUAAGAAUAAGGAUCGGCUAACUCCAUGCCAGCAGCCGCGGUAAUAAUAAAA